rnacentral:sRNA from 1 species
AUAAGGAGAAAGUAAGAAUAUUUCUGCUUUCCUACGCGGUCAAAGUCUUGGGAGGAUGUGACCUGGGCGCGGUUUUCCGCAGCCGCCACGCAAGUGGAUUUGGUCAGACGCGAUCUUCAAAAUGCAGGGUGAAAGCCUUGCAUUUUUUU